rnacentral:misc_RNA from 1 species
UCAAGUUUUUUUUUUUUUUUUUUAGACAGACUUCUCUAUCUCUCUCAUCCCUAUUUCAAACCCUUUCAUAUUUUGGCAUCAAUUCCAUAUUGGAAUUUGCAACUGAGUCAGUAUCUCCAGUGGAGGGUAACUCAAGGAAUGGCUCAUAGAAUAGAAUAGCUAAGUAUGACAGUAUCUAAGAAAAAUCAAACAAUUGAUGCUCAAUUUUGAGUUCUUACUGAAUUCAAUAGCAA